rnacentral:precursor_RNA from 8 species
UCCUGUGGCCAGACGGGAGGCAGCAGGGCCAGCCCUUCCCUUUCACUGGCCUGUAGCCAGCCCAGGUCUGGUGGGAAGGAAGGGACACAUCCUGAUGUCUGAGUGCCCUGCGAUCUCG